UUUCCCCCAAAAAAGGCCUCAAACUCCCCCAAAUGCUCUCCUCUACCUGAUUUUCGAUCGUCGGUCCGGCCUUGCUCUGGUCACCGGACUGCCGCGCCUCCGCCGUGGUAGCCGCCUUCCACAGUGGUCGGGAAACCAAAAAAGCCAUUUUCUUCAAGCUUUCGAUUUCCCGAGUUCGUUAGUCACUGAUUUUCAUUAGAAUCGGUGGACCUCGACCGCCCACAACGCCGCGAAUACAAGAGGAAAGGUAAGAUUUGAUCCCCCUUUUUACUGUAUUUGAUAGAUUCAAACGAAAUAAGGAAGAAAAACAAUAAAUAAAAGCAGAGAAAAAAAAACGAUGAAUCAAGAGACCACCUUUGAAGUUAGUUUUUGCUUUGUAUUCGGGUAUCUCAAUGUAUUUCUUAGUAUUGAUUGUGUGUGUGUAAAAAAAAAUACAAAAACCAAUCCCCUUGGCUUUAUAGCCGAACAUAUAUUUCCCUUUUUUACAAUUUGUUUGUUUGUUCUUUUUUUCUAUUUGCUGCUGUGGUGUUUGUCCUUCCUGCAUGUAUUGGAGAGGUGGAGGUGUACGGAGGCAGUAUGAGGGCAGCACAUGGGGCGUACGGAGGCUACUUGGUGGCUACUGCGGCACCUAGCAGAAAAUGAAACCUAGGGUUUCUAUUUCUGAAAAUUUUGGGCCAUUGGGCUUGUUUUCGUUACUGGGCCACUGUAGUUUGGUCUGUUUGGGGGAUUUGGGUGUAAUGGGGUUUUGGGUUUUAAUUUUUAGGGCUUGGUAUAUUUCUGGGCUAAGUUUUAUUAUUGGGCUUGUAAGAAAUGGAUUGAUGAUGGACUUUAAUAUAUUUAUUGUUUUUUUGGUGUUGGUUUGGUUUGUUAAUUGGGCCCAGGAAAAAUUUGGGUUUCACACUCACGACAUCACUAGACUUGCCAUUCAAGUGCUUAAAUUUAGGACUGGUGUAAUCCUUAGGGUAAGGUUUGGCAGCUACCCUAGUAGGGUAUGAUAGUUUGAUAUCAAACUAAAAGAAACCAAGGCUUUUUUUUUUCUUCUAACAACCUUUGCAAUUCCUUUUUGGUGACAAAACCACGGGUUUAGUAGGUUGUGCUAUUAAGGAGGAAACUCUAGCCUAGGAAUUUAUGGUGAGUUAGAUGGUAGAUAUGUUAGCGUUCAAGGUGAUGACUAUGCCAGUUGUCACAGGAAGUACAUGGUUGGAAGCAUAAAAAAAG
rnacentral:lncRNA from 1 species